rnacentral:rRNA from 1 species
CCUACGGGAGGCAGCAGUGGGGAAUAUUGGGCAAUGGGCGCAAGCCUGACCCAGCAACGCCGCGUGAAGGAAGAAGGCUUUCGGGUUGUAAACUUCUUUUAAGAGGGACGAGCAGAAGACGGUACCCCUUGAAUAAGCCACGGCUAACUACGUGCCAGCAGCCGCGGUAAUACGUAGGUGGCAAGCGUUGUCCGGAUUUAUUGGGUGUAACGGGCGUGCAGCCGGGAAGGCAAGUCAGAUGUGAAAUCUCGCGGCUCAACCGAGGACCUGCAUUUGAAACUGUUUUUCUUGAGUGCCGGAGAGGUCAUCGGAAUUCCGUGUGUAGCGGUGAAAUGCGUAGAUAUAAGGAGGAACACCAGUGGCGAAGGCGGAUGGCUGGACAGCAACUGACGGUGAGGCGCGAAAGCGUGGGGAGCAAACAGGAUUAGAUACCCGGGUAGUC